rnacentral:rRNA from 1 species
UGGGGAAUAUUGCACAAUGGGCGCAAGCCUGAUGCAGCCAUGCCGCGUGUGUGAAGAAGGCCUUCGGGUUGUAAAGCACUUUCAGCGGGGAGGAAGGCGUUAAGGUUAAUAACCUUGGCGAUUGACGUUACCCGCAGAAGAAGCACCGGCUAACUCCGUGCCAGCAGCCGCGGUAAUACGGAGGGUGCAAGCGUUAAUCGGAAUUACUGGGCGUAAAGCGCACGCAGGCGGUUUGUUAAGUCAGAUGUGAAAUCCCCGGGCUCAACCUGGGAACUGCAUCUGAUACUGGCAAGCUUGAGUCUCGUAGAGGGGGGUAGAAUUCCAGGUGUAGCGGUGAAAUGCGUAGAGAUCUGGAGGAAUACCGGUGGAGAAGGCGGCCCCCUGGACGAAGACUGACGCUCAGGUGCGAAAGCGUGGGGAGCAAACAGG